CUUUCAAUAGAUCUCAGCAAGGGAGCUGCUGUAUUACGUAGGAAACUCCGACCCAGAAGCAGGUCAUCUAUGCAUGGUUUAACCCCAGGUUCCCCACCAAUGUGCGUUGUGUGACAGACAAUGCAUGCCUUACGUCUUGCACAUGGAGGACUGGCCACCACCCUUUCCUGAUUCGCCUCUUGCCUCAGGCCAUCAGCUUCCUAUCUCUGGCUGAGACAGUCUCGAAGGCCCUUCCAAAGCUGACGUUGCUCUGCUUUCUAAUCCUGGCUCUGCAAGCUAUUUCAAGCUAUGUGACCCUGGGUAAGUCAGGUCCUCCCUCCAAGUCUCAGUUUCUUCAUCAGUAGGGGAACAGUAACCCCAAGCCAUGUCUUAUCCCGUAAGAGCUCAAGGAGAUAGUGUGAGAGAAGACUCUGUAAAGAAGGAGACGCUGCACACAGGUGGCAGGUACCCAGGUGGCAGGCCUUGAUGACAAAGGUGACGAUGUUCCUCCAAAGUCAUAAAGGAAUUGUUCUUAGAUUGAGGAUCUGAGAUAGGGGAAGGUUAUCUAGUGGGUGCUGGACUUCACAAAUCACUGACAGUGACUUUUUCCUUCCAGGAAAAGGCUUGAUCCUCUUGGCCCGGAAGCAGGGGGCUGGUUACAAUGACCCCAGUUCCUCUCUUGCUGUAUUACAUCCCAGCUGGAGGGAGCAACUUCCCUUCCAGAGGAAGGUGGCCAAGGCAGAAGCAGGGUGUGAGGAAAUGCUGAUGCCGGCUGGCUCUGAAAUUAGCUUACCUGCUUGUUUAACCAUUUCUCCAAAGAGAAUGCAAGUUCCUAGAGCAGGGGUUGACAAAAAAAAAAAAAAAAAAAAAAUCUUUUAUUUCCUGAAGAGCCAGCUAGUAAACAUUUUAGGCUUUCUUGGCCAUAUGGUCUCUGUUGAGACUGCUCGACGCUGCUGUUGCAGUGUGGAAGCAGCCCUAGACCAUACGUAAACGGAGCGUGGCUGUGCUCCAAUAAAACUUUAUUUAUG